GGGUGUCGUCUGAGACAAUAGGGAAUCCGGUGAGAAUCCGGAACAGUACCCGCUGCUGUGAGUCUCCGCCGAGACAAUCGUAACCGAUUGGCCGGCGAAGCGUUUUUCCGGCAAUCGAAGCCAUUGGCGCCCCUUGCGGGUGCUGAGAAGGCGAGCCGGAGAAAGAGACGAGUCAGAAGACCUGCCGAUGCAAG
rnacentral:ncRNA from 1 species